GGAUUGUGGCUCAGUGGUAGAGCACGCGCCUUGCAUAGGAAAAGCCCUGGGUUCAAUCCCCAGCACCA
rnacentral:tRNA from 1 species